UACAGAGGGGGCAAGCGUUGUUCGGAAUUACUGGGCGUAAAGCGUGCGCAGGCGGUUUUGUAAGCCAGAUGUGAAAUCCCCGGGCUUAACCUGGGAAUGGCAUUUGGGACUGCAAGGCUGGAGUGUGGCAGAGGAGACUGGAAUUCCUGGUGUAGCAGUGAAAUGCGUAGAUAUCAGGAGGAAUACCGAUGGCGAAGGCAGGUCUCUGGGCUAACACUGACGCUCAUGCACGAAAGCGUGGGGAGCAAACAGG
rnacentral:rRNA from 1 species